CUACGGGUGGCAGCAGUGAGGAAUAUUGCACAAUGGGGGAAACCCUGAUGCAGCAACGCCGCGUGGAGGAUGACGCAUUUCGGUGUGUAAACUCCUUUUAUGAGUCAAGAAAAUGACGGUAGCCCAUGAAUAAGCACCGGCUAACUCCGUGCCAGCAGCCGCGGUAAUACGGAGGGUGCAAGCGUUACUCGGAAUCACUGGGCGUAAAGGACGCGUAGGCGGGAUGGCAAGUCAGGUGUGAAAUACCUAUGGCUCAACCAUAGAACUGCACUUGAAACUGGCAACCUAGAGUAUGGGAGGGGGAGAUGGAAUUAGUGGUGUAGGGGUAAAAUCCGGAGAUAUCACUAGGAAUACCGAAAGCGAAGGCGAUCUCCUGGAACAUUACUGACGCUAAGGCGUGAAAGCGUGGGGAGCAAACAGGAUUAGAUACCCCCGUAGUC
rnacentral:rRNA from 1 species